AGUGAACAGUGGCAUAUGCACAUCGGCAAAUGUUCAUUAUUAUUAUACAAGUAGCAAUUCAAAAUUUAACAGUGGUACUAGCGAAGCUUCAAACCACUUUGGUAAAGGCAUCAAGGUCUUGUUAACACUGAUAUGCAUUUGACACAAAGCUCUGUUAAGCUUGUCAGACAGCUGUCAAUAGUUGAAACAUAGGCUACGAAUUUAAUUACUUCCUGCACUCGACCUCUUUCUGUUCUGACCGCUGGCACGAUCAGUUGUGCUUUAUUUAGCUGCAAUAAAUUUUGUUUAAAUUAUUAUAAGUGAAACACGUGUAUAUUUUCGUGUGCAAAUCGUGCUAUUGAGAAGCCAUCCUCAAGGAGGCUUUAUUAAAACCUUGUAAGAUCACCAUUUCACAGCGUUUAUCUGUUCCAUUUUGGAUUAUUUUUUUUGCUUCAAAGAAUAUUGGUGUAUGGCGACAUGAGCUAUUGUCUUGGUCGGCUCAUCCACAAUUAAACGUUGGAUUCAUCCCGUCAGAUAAUCAGGCGAAGCUGGAAUUUGAAUGCAAAAAUUAGCGACAAGGCAGAAUUUCAAUAGGCAGCAAACGUAGCAGCAGCAGCGGCGGAGAGAACUCGACUUUUACAAAGACUCCAGUGCCCUCCAAAAAACCAGGAGAAAGAGCCACAUAUACUCGUAUAUGUGUACUAACGUUAACGAAUUUGGUUUCUUUAAAAUUCAGGCAGAAAUAUCAAUAUUACGAAUUUUUGCAUGCUUAACCUAAAAGCAGAGACCCUGUGCUUACAAAUUGCAUGUACAGCGCAAGUACAAAGUCCAACUUUAUUGGCAUAAUUUUAUCUAAGCAUCAGCUAUUAAUAGCAAUUGUUUAAAGUAACUGUAUUUUGGUUUGUGCAAAAGCAAAAGUUUUUCUUUAUCAAAAGUUCAAAUGUAAGAGAGCCUCUUACAUAGGCAUAUAAGUAAUUCAUACAUACAUAUAUAUUAGAGCAGGCAUUUGCAACUCAAUAAGUGCUGAGUUUGGAAAUAUUAAUAUAUUAAUUUUUUUUUUUUUUUUUUUUUAUUGGAGAUCGAAAGUGUUGAAAUAGUACUGCUUGUAUAAAUUAAUUUUGAUCCCAUACUAACAUACACAGCAACAUCUGGAAACUAUGGAGGCCUUCAUCGGAUUUUUCAGAGGUUCAUGCAACUAUCAUAUAAAUUUCUCUCUCUCUCUUCCGCACCAUGAACAAUUCAAAGGAUUCGAGCAGAAUCAAGGCGGAGCGUACGACCGGUAUAGCCUAAUCUUAUGGGGCCUACGAAGAACUGCGAUACUGCUCGCAUUGAUAGAGUGGCCCCAGGCAAUCAUAUUAGAAGAAGCAGUUCAAGCUUUGAAGCCAAAUAAAAUAAAAGCUCACACAGAAAUAAAUGGUCUGUCCUUAACAGAAACUAAUAUAUGAAAACAUGCGGCAAUUAUACAUGAAAACAAGUGGAGAAGCUAAAGUCGAGUUUCCCGACUUUAAAUCACUUUGUAAAUAUAUGUUGAAAAAUUAAGAAGUGUCAUGCUGAUUAAUAAUAUAUACGCCUUCUUCUGUCUUUUACAUUUUUCACGUCCCUCAAACUUAAUAUACUCUUGUACAUAUCAUAUAUUUAGAUCUGGUUACUUCUGAUUACUGAAGCUGAAGAAUAAGAGACAAGAAAAAGCACACACUAGGUGAGCCUGACUUUCCGUAAUUACCAGGGUUUUGAUUCUAUUCGUUACAUAGUCUUUGGUAAUGUUUGUAUUGUCACUAAGUUAGAGGUAAAUUAUGGAGGACUUCAAAUAUGUAACAAGAAAGGAAUGCUAAGGUCGAGUAGGCUCAACUCUUAAAUACUCCACCAAAAA